AAACUUAAAUGAAUUGACGGGGACCCGCACAAGCGGUGGAUGAUGUGGUUUAAUUCGAUGCAACGCGAAAAACCUUACCCACCUUUGACAUGUACGGAAUCCUUUAGAGAUAGAGGAGUGCUCGAAAGAGAGCCGUAACACAGGUGCUGCAUGGCUGUCGUCAGCUCGUGUCGUGAGAUGUUGGGUUAAGUCCCGCAACGAGCGCAACCCUUGUCAUUAGUUGCUACAUUCAGUUGGGCACUCUAAUGAGACUGCCGGUGACAAACCGGAGGAAGGUGGGGAUGACGUCAAGUCCUCAUGGCCCUUAUAGGUGGGGCUACACACGUCAUACAAUGGCUGGUACAGAGGGUUGCCAACCCGCGAGGGGAGCCAAUCCCAUAAAGCCAGUCGUAGUCCGGAUCGCAGUCUGCAACUCGACUGCGUGAAGUCGGAAUCGCUAGUAAUCGCGGAUCAGAAUGUCGCGGUGAAUACGUUCCCGGGUCUUGUACACACCGCCCGUCACACCAUGGGAGCGGGUUCUGCCAGAAGUAGUUAGCCUAACCGCAAGGAGGGCGAUUACCACGGCAGGGUUCGUGACUGGGGUGAAGUCGUAACAAGGUAGCCGUAUCGGAAGGUGCGGCUGGAUCACCUCCUUU
rnacentral:rRNA from 1 species